CCUACGGGCGGCAGCAGUGAGGAAUAUUGGUCAAUGGCCGAGAGGCUGAACCAGCCAAGUCGCGUGAGGGAAGACUGCCCUACGGGUUGUAAACUUCUUUUAUCGGGGAGUAAAGUUCAGUAUGUGUGGUGUAUUGUGAGUACCAGAAGAAAAAGGAUCGGCUAACUCCGUGCCAGCAGCCGCGGUAAUACGGAGGAUUCGAGCGUUAUCCGGAUUUAUUGGGUUUAAAGGGUGCGGAGGCGGAAGCUGAAGUCAGGGGUGAAAGUUUGGGGCUCAACCCUCAAAUUGCCGUUGAUACUGGGUGUCUUGAGUGCAGGAGAGGUAUGCGGAAUGCGUGGUGUAGCGGUGAAAUGCUUAGAUAUCACGCAGAACUCCGAUUGCGAAGGCAGCAUACUGGCGUGUAACUGACGCUGAUGCUCGAAAGUGUGGGUAUCAAACAGGAUUAGAUACCCGAGUAGUC
rnacentral:rRNA from 1 species